rnacentral:rRNA from 1 species
GUGAACGCUGGCGGCAGGCCUAACACAUGCAAGCCGAGCGGUAGAGAUUCUUCGGGAUCUUGAGAGCGGCGUACGGGUGCGGAACACGUGUGCAACCUGCCUUUAUCUGGGGGAUAGCCUUUCGAAAGGAAGAUUAAUACCCCAUAAUAUAAGAGACGGCAUCGUUUUUUAUUGAAAACUCCGGUGGAUAGAGAUGGGCACGCGCAAGAUUAGAUAGUUGGUGAGGUAACGGCUCACCAAGUCUACGAUCUUUAGGGGGCCUGAGAGGGUGAUCCCCCACACUGGUACUGAGACACGGACCAGACUCCUACGGGAGGCAGCAGUGAGGAAUAUUGGACAAUGGGUGAGAGCCUGAUCCAGCCAUCCCGCGUGAAGGACGACGGCCCUAUGGGUUGUAAACUUCUUUUGUAUAGGGAUAAACCUACCCUCGUGAGGGUAGCUGAAGGUACUAUACGAAUAAGCACCGGCUAACUCCGUGCCAGCCGCCGCCGUAA